UAUCGGAGAGAGAUAUCAGGCUAUGGCUGUUUGUGUUCUAUAAAGUCAGUCUUUUUCUCUCUCCUAUU